rfam:Aeromonas hydrophila subsp. hydrophila ATCC 7966, complete genome.
UGGGGCAUCGCCAAGCGGUAAGGCAGCGGGUUUUGAUCUCGCCAUACCUAGGUUCGAAUCCUAGUGCCCCAG